rnacentral:rRNA from 1 species
UACAGAGGGGGCAAGCGUUAUUCGGAAUUAUUGGGCGUAAAGGGCGCGUAGGCGGCCAUUCAAGUGACGGGUGAAAGCCCUCGGCUUAACCGAGGAACUGCCUGUCAGACUGGAUGGCUUGAGACCGGGAGAGGUAAGUGGAAUUCCGAGUGUAGAGGUGAAAUUCGUAGAUAUUCGGAAGAACACCAGUGGCGAAGGCGACUUACUGGACACAUAUUGACGCUGAGGUGCGAAAGCGUGGGGAGCAAACAGG